GGCGCCAUGGCUUAGUUGGAAAAGAGCCUGUCUAGUAAACAGGAGAUCCUGGGUUCAAAUCCCAAUGGUGCCU
rnacentral:tRNA from 1 species